rnacentral:lncRNA from 1 species
GAAAAUGAAACUUGUGAUGAAAAGAGGGGCUCUGACUUUUGAUGCAUUAGUUCUUAUAAAAAUUAAUCAUCAACUUACUUGUUUUCACUAAAAAAGGCCCUUGAGAGUAUUCCCUUAAGGAAAUAAGGAGACUUACUAGAGACUCAGAUCUUUUCUGUCCAUUUCAUAACCCAAGUGGCAUGGACUCUUACCAAAAAGAGACAGUGAAACUUUUAUGAAAAGUAACCUGAAUGUAAACAAUCUAACUCUGUUACAUUCCAUUUUUAAAAAACAGGCAGUCAAUAUAACAGCAUCUUAUUUAUUUGCCAGUGAUAUAGGUAGGGAAAACUUUGUGGAUGAGGGGCCCGACUAAGUUGGUGGAAGACUCUUGACAGUAGAGGUUAUGAGCUUGGACUUACAUCAAGAUAGCAGUCAAACCUUAAUUCUAAAAGUGACACAUGCCAUUAGUAUUGGUAGAUUUGUAUAAUUUUCCCACAUAUAGAAAUGAUUUAAUUCACAAUCUCAUCUUCUAGAAAGUUGGCAUAUAACUCUUUGUACUGUUUUCAAGGAAUUUGUUCAGAAAGUGAGAACAUGUAUUAUGAAUGCCUUCAAGUCAUUUACCAUAACUAUUCAAAGAAGGAAUGAUAAAAUUUAUAGAGGACAAUUUCAGUUCUCUCUAAAUUAUUCAUUUUUAAAAAUUCAAAAUCAAGAUAAAGAGGAAAAUAGCUAAAGAAAUCCAACAGAAUUCUUGUUUGACAGUAAUUGGAAACCAGUGAUUGGAAGCAGUUGGUGCAAUAUGUUCUACAAAGGACUUUUUUAAUUUUAUUUUUUUGGUUGCUUUCACAGCUCUUCACCCUUUCAAUGCUGCUUAAAGAAAUGCAAGUGCCAAAAAUGGUGCUGAAGAACUUUCCUAGCUGGACAGAAAAGUUUUGAAAAGAGAGCUGCAUUUUUAAUAGACUAACUUAUAUCUUAUUCAAAUUUUAGGAAAGAAUCCUCUCAUUGUGAGUUUCUUUUUUUUCUGAAAAUAAGAAAUGACUCUAGAAGAAAAUACAAUCUGUGAGCAUGAUUCAAGGAUUUUCUUGCCACCCAUGCCUGGUUCUCUGUAGGGCUAAAGUGAUAGACACAUGACAAAAGGUACCCUCCCCCACCUCCAUAAUGAGCAGCCAAGCUUUUACUCUUAUGGCUCUUUGUUUCUGGGGACUAGAGGCAAAGGGUACCACUUUCAGGCUAGCACAACUUUCUUCCCUUCUGAACACCUCCCUACUCCACAUCCUACUAUGUUCUGGCAGAUAGAGUUUCAACACGAUUGUAAAGAUGCUAGGCAUCCCUUUGGAAUCCUAGAAAAGCAGAAUUGUGCAGGAGAAUGUCACUCAUUUUGGUUACUACCCCAGAUCUGUGAGGGGAAAUGGAAAAAGGAUGAAGUCUCCUACUCUAUUUUUUCCAUUCUUUUAAAUAAGGGAUUCUGUCUUAUUUAAGGACAAAGCAUCAUUGGGCCAUAUGGUUUUUCUUCAACUAGUUCCAUGAGCCUUAUAGUUAGAAAUAUAUUCCUAAUGCUGGCCUUAGAUAAGUUGUAUUAAUUUUCAGCAUUGUUAUAAGAUCUCUGGAACUUCAAAGAUAUUUGAGUUGGAAAGCGAAGAGGCUAACUCAACAUGCUUUUAAAUGAAAAAACCUAACUUUACCAGUUUUCACAUUAAAGAAAUUUAUGUCUUUUGGCCACACACACACAAAUCCACCAAAUAUUGAGUGUUGAAAUUGGAAUUUUCAUGAACAUUUAAAUCAGAUCCAUAUUUUCAAUCAUGACUAUUUUUCUCUUUUUCAUGGGCAUGUCAUCAAUACUGUGAAAACCCUAAAGGAGAAAUAAAUGGAGAAGCAUGCCAGAAUCACACGUGAUGUUGAAAUGGGUUCUAAUGCUUUUCAAGAUUUUACUGUUCCUUUUUCUCAUAUUUAUCCCAAGAGUAUAAAAGUUCAGUGAAAUGCUUUCCUGGGG